AUGAGAUGGUUGGAUGGCAUCACCGACUCAAUGGACAUGCGUUUGAGCAAGUCUGGGAGAUAGUGAAGGACAGGGAAGCCUGGCGUGCGGCAGUCCAGGGGGUCACAAAGAGUCGGGCUUAGAGACGGAACAACAACGGCCCCAGGCCCUGAGUGGGGUCAGGUGGAAUGAGACAACUUCCCGCCCCCGGGCUCCCAGGUCAGUAGGGGAGGCAGCUGUGAGAAAGGCAGUGAGGAAGUGAGGAAAGGCUUGGCUGCCUGAGGACAGUCCCCUCUGCCCUCCGCCGGCUGUCGCAUGCAGUUAACUGUGCUCCCGGGAGCUGGAGGGAGGCCCUAGAGGAACGGCCAUGCCCCCUGCCCUCGGGGCCUCGGGACCUGGCUGGGGAGACAGGACUUCUGCUUUGGAAGAACCUGGGCUCCCAGGAUGCUGGAGCCCAGGGCAGAUGCUCCAGUCAGAGGCACACAGAGCAAGUUCCUCUCUAGCUCAGGGAGGGGGCAGACCUCAAGGAAAAGGCUGGGUCUUUCAUAGGAGAAAAACUUAGACCAGCCGAGAGGAGCAAAGAGAGAAGGGAUGGCUUAGAAGGGGCUGCUGCAGUUUUAGCAGGAACUGCCCCCUAGCUGGCCGUGGCCUCUGGUCCCCUUCCUCUGCCCCGCCCCCUGCAGAGCUGACAGCCCUGAGCACAGGCUGGGACACUGUAAACACACAUCAUUCAUUUGCCUACCUUAAGGGAGGCUUGUAAGUCUUUCUUUGUGUGUGGGUUUUCAUCAAGAAGUAAUCUUUACAACCACAAAAAUUGUCCAAUAACAUUUCUCUCCCUUGGCAAACAUCUCCCCGUAUAUCAAAGGCUCAAAUACACAGUGCGGAGGCUCACGGGGACAAGAGCUGGAGAGAGCUUUACAGCAGUCCACAGGAGCUGUCUGAGGGUCACGUGGGCUCAUCCAAAUCUCACGUGGCUCCCGGAACUGAUAACCGGCCUGCAGGAGAGAUUCCUCCCACGUGUGUUCAUUCUGCCUCUCUUUUGGAAACACUUCUCUGGGGCCAAGCACUGGGCUGGGCGCAAGAGACACAGACAUCACCAGGUCACGCUGCUUGUCCCCGAGAAGGUGGUUUUGCCUGCUAUUUCAAGUGCUUUGUAUAUUGUAACUCAUCUAACCCUUGCAAAAGCCCCGGAAGGUACUCUGACUCUCCCCAUUUUACAGAUGAGGAAACUGAGCCCCAAGGCAGUUUAAGUAACUUGCCCAAGGUCACAAGGCUGGUCAGUGGCAGAGCAGCUUUGCUUGUAUGUUUCAUCUAUCGGACUGUGAGCAUCUCAAGGUCAGGGCUGAGGGUUGUUCGUCAUGGCACAGGGCCCAGCAUAAAGGAGUUCUCAGGAAAAUGCUGGCAAAUGUAUGAGCAUGAACAAGACAGCCAGAAGGGCACACAGGCCCACCUUAGAAUCUAA
rnacentral:lncRNA from 1 species